UACGUAGGGUGCAAGCGUUAAUCGGAAUUACUGGGCGUAAGGCGUGCGCAGGCGGUGAUGUAAGACAGUUGUGAAAUCCCCGGGCUCAACCUGGGAACUGCAUCUGUGACUGCAUCGCUGGAGUACGGCAGAGGGGGAUGGAAUUCCGCGUGUAGCAGUGAAAUGCGUAGAUAUGCGGAGGAACACCGAUGGCGAAGGCAAUCCCCUGGGCCUGUACUGACGCUCAUGCACGAAAGCGUGGGGAGCAAACAGG
rnacentral:rRNA from 1 species